GGACUUUUUAGAGCUUGUCAUUGCUUUCCUGGGCGUGGUGUACAUUUGAGACAGCGCCUCGUUCUCCUUCCCCCUUCCGAGAAGGAAAAACUCCCCGGCUCCGUUUGGUUACUCCAUACUUUGGACUCAGAAGUGGGAGGAAGAAUAGACAGUGGAACAACGCCUCAGACAGAGCCGUGGGAGCUGCAGUAUCAGCGUCUGCUGCAUCUUACCAUCGCAUCAACAUCACAGAUCACUGAUCUGCAUAUUCUGAAUUUGUCAACUCAGAGAUUCUCUGACCUGGUUUAUGGUUAGUGUGAGG
ensembl:lncRNA